UAUCUCUGUAGAGUCUGCAUAUCAAUAAGCGGAGGAAAAGAAACUAACUAGGAUUCCCUUAGUAACGGCGAGUGAAGCGGGAAGAGCUCAAAUUUGAAAUCUUCAAGGUUCUACCUUGACGAAUUGUAGUUUAAAGAAGUGUUUUCUGUUAGAGUGAGUAGCAAAAGUUCCUUGGAAUAGGGACAUCAUAGAGGGUGAGAAUCCCGUAUUUGGUUAUUCAUUCUAGCUUUGUGAUACACUUUCAAAGAGUCGGAUUGUUUGGGAAUGCAGUCCAAAAUGGGUGGUAAAUUUCAUCUAAAGCUAAAUAUUGGCGAGAGACCGAUAGCGAACAAGUACCGUGAGGGAAAGAUGAAAAGAACUUUGAAAAGAGAGUUAAACAGUACGUGAAAUUGUCAAAAGGGAAGCGUUUGACACCAGUGUUGUUUUCUCGAAAAUCAAUUAAAAAUGGCAUGAUUUUGUGUUGUAUUGACCUUUAAUCAAGCUUUCUUCACUCUUUUCAUCGUCUUUUUUAAUGCACUUUUCGUUUAACAAGUCAACAUCAAUUUCUUUUGUUGUAAAAGGGUCAUUGGAAGGUGGCUUUCUUUUCGGAGAAAGUGUUUAUAGCCUUUGGCCUCUGCAAUCGGAGAGAUUGAGGUCUGCAGCGUAGAUCCUUCGGGGUUAGAUACAUUUGUGCUAAGUUAUAGCCUUUCAUAGACAACUUGUUGACUAUGAUCAGUCAUGUAGCUUACUCGCUUAUGCUAUUUUACCUACGCUUAGGAUGUUGAAGAUGUAGCACAUCAU
rnacentral:rRNA from 1 species